rnacentral:lncRNA from 1 species
UUUGAGCAGGUUACAUGCUUUUUUGGUUUAUGUUGUCUAAAUGCUGAUUUUGACUAGAAUUUUUUGGAGGCGGUUUAAAUUCCACUGUUAAAUGUGAGGGGAUCGAAGAUCAUGAUGUAGAGGGUCAUUCUCAGUUCUGGUUGAAUCGGUCAGGUUAUAGCUGAUUCCUAAGCGAACAGUCUUAUGUCCGGAUUGACUAUUC